rnacentral:rRNA from 1 species
UAGGGAAUUUUGCGCAAUGGGGGAAACCCUGACGCAGCGACGCCGCGUGAGUGAAGAAGGCCUUCGGGUUGUAAAGCUCUGUCAGAUGGGACGAAUAAGUGGGCCUGAAUAAGGCAUCAUGAUGACGGUACCAUCAGAGGAAGCACCGGCUAACUCUGUGCCAGCAGCCGCGGUAAUACAGAGGGUGCAAGCGUUAUUCGGAAUUACUGGGCGUAAAGCGCAUGUAGGUGGUUUAUUAAGUCAGUUGUGAAAUCUCGGGGCUUAACCUCGAAAAUGCAAUUGAAACUGGUAGACUUGAGUCUGGGAGAGGGAAGCAGAAUUCCUGGUGUAGAGGUGAAAUUCGUAGAUAUCAGGAGGAAUACCGGAGGCGAAGGCGGCUUCCUGGUCCAGAACUGACACUGAGAUGCGAGAGCGUGGGUAGCAAACAGG